rnacentral:tRNA from 1 species
GCGGGAUUAGUUAAGUGGUAUAACACAUGCUUCCCAAGCAUGGGUCGCGGGUUCGAUUCCCGCAUCCCGCA